rnacentral:rRNA from 1 species
AUACGGAGGAUGCGCGCGUUAUCCGGAUUUAUUGGGUUUAAAGGGAGCGUAGGUGGGAUAUUAAGUCAGCUGUGAAAGUUUGGGGCUCAACCUUAAAAUUGCAGUUGAUACUGGUUUCCUUGAGUACAGUAGAGGCAGGAGGAAUUCGUGGUGUAGCGGUGAAAUGCUUAGAGAUCACGAAGAACUCCGAUUGCGAAGGCAGCCUGCUGGACUGUAACUGACGCUGAUGCUCGAAAGUGUGGGUAUCAAACAGGAUUAGAUACCCUGGUAGUCCACACAGUAAACGAUGAAUACUCGCUGUUUGCGAUAUACAGUAAGCGGCCAAGCGAAAGCGUUAAGUAUUCCACCUGGGGAGUACGCCGGCAACGGUGAAACUCAAAGGAAUUGGCGGGG